GUCUCCAAAGUAAAGGUUAAACAAUGUUGAUGUCCAUUGGAUUCUAUGACAUGUGACAUGUUACCCCGUAACAUGAUAACUAAAAAUGACACAUGGUGCAAACUAUUUCUUUUUAAAGUCCUGCUAUCUCAACCAAUGAUUUGCAUCAGUUUUUACCA